GGGUUUCACAGCCCGAGGCGAUUAAUAGGGAAUCAGGUGAGAGGCCUGAACAGACCCGCUACUGUAUGUUCCAUAUCAACCUUGCGGACACAAUAAGAGUGUCACUGACCGAAAUGGUCGGGAAGGCAGUCUGCGAGGGGAACGAGUCAGGAGACCUGCCAUGCGAUUUAG
rnacentral:ncRNA from 1 species